rnacentral:lncRNA from 1 species
CCUACAUGUAUUACUCAUUACAGCCAAAAUGUGCUAAUUUAAACCCACGAUUAAGGUCUAAAGUAUUUACACAAUCAAACUACAAUAACUCACAUGCAAAAUAACAUUGAUGCCUCAGACCUAAGGAUCAAUUACACAACUACAAUAUCAAACAAGUCAUUGAUGAGAGAGUAGUUAUCCACGUGACUCUUUGUAACCGGUCACAUUCAGUUAGGGAUGUCAACGGGUCGGGUUUGGGUAGGGUUUUCAAAAACCCGAACCUGAACCCGAAAACCAAAGUAAAACCCGAACCCGGCGGAUUUUAAAAAUUCAUACCCAUAUCCAUAUCCGACCAAAAACUCGAAACCCGAACCUGAACCCAGCGGGUUUUAAAAAUCUAUACCGUUGGNACCCGACCAAAAACCCGAAACCCAAACCCGGACCCGAACCCGAACCCGAACCCGGCGGGUUUUAAAAAUUCAUACCGUUGGAUGAAGAUGUAAGGGAUAAAAAUUAUUAAAUAUUUUAUAUAUUAUAUAAAUAAAUAAAAAUAAAUUAUGUAUAUAUAUAAUUUAUUCGGGUUUGGGUUCGGGUUCGGGUCGGGUUCGGGUUUGGGUCGGGUAAAUACAAAAUCCAUACCCGUAUCCAUAUCCAUCGGGUUUUUAUUUUCUAUACCCAUAACCGAAUCCAUACACGUUUAGCUCAAGUAAACCCGCCCCAUUCGGGUUUGGGUUCGGAUAAUAUUUCGGGUAUCCAUUGACAUCUCCUACAUUUAGUGAAUUUAUUCUCUAACAACCAUCUAUAUGCUUGCCAUAGUGCCAUCACAUUAAUGAUUUGAGAUCUGUCAUCCAAAAACACAGCAUCCACUAGUCUAACCGGAUUUAUCACCGUCCUCAGAUAAUCCUACAACUAGGAGCAUUUAGAAAUUACUUACUGAAGAACACAUCUAAAAUUCCUAGUACUUUUAGAAAUAUAUUUUUUCUAUAAUUAACAAAUUGCACUAAUGCAUUUGCAUUAGUAUUUAAAGAUUUCUGGAAUCAUUAAACUCCCAUCUGAUCACCAUAAAAAAUAGAGGGUUGCUAUUAUGGGCCUAUAUGCUUGGCCAAUUAUUUGGAUUGGUCAUUGUAAAUGUGGGAAUUGGGUGGUGUUACCUUCACCGGUAACUCCAUGCGUAACAACUAACAACAUGUGUAACAUCCCCGACAACUUCCCCACAAAUAAUGUUUUAUCCUCCAUUAUGCCCAACUGACUAAGCCCAUUAUUUAGAAAGGUCAGUCCAUCACUAAGGUCAGUAAUAUCUUGGCUUACAUUGUGCAUUAGAGAGCACCUGCAUUGUGCCACAGUCUUUUAGAGCACAUGUUAUCUGGCAUCGCCCAAAAGCCGUUUCGGUGGAAAAAGGUAAUAAGUUAAGGUUGAGAUUAGGAGAAAGGUGAGGAUUUGACGGGAGAAAAGCAAGGUUGAAAAGAAGAUAAAAUGGGACAUGGACAGCAACCAAAGUUGUUGCCAUGCUUCUGUCAACUCCAUUAGAUAUAAUUUCUCAGUAAGAACACUGCAAUACUGUCUAAGCUGCUGAGCGUGACAACUGAAAGUGUAGGACCAGAGUGCAAUCCGACCAAUAUUUUUUGGGAACUACAAGUGCAAUUACUUCCAAUCCACAAAUCUUUUUCUUCAAAAAGCAGUAGAGAAAACUCUCAUAAAUAUAUUUGAGGUCGCGAAAAUAUGUACCUGUUGGAGGAUUGUCCCAGGUUGUGUUGCUAGUUCCUACAAAAACAAUUAAAAGUUUAACAAGAAAUUGGUCAAGAGAUGUGAUAUCCAGCAUAAAGUGAGAAAAAGGCACAAGGAAAUAGAAGUAACCAUUAGAGAACAGUGUAGGUAAAAAAAUAGUAACGAGUAUAAUAUCUGGUAUUAAAUUUAGAGGAAUGCUUCAAUACACCGGAUAAAAUAAAUCUAGCCGUUCAUAUUUAAGGGCGAGAUUGACUUUUGCAUAGUGGUUACCUGCUCAACAGGUUACCAUUCGUAAGGGUAAUAUGGGAAAACAUUUACAAGCUAAUUACCAAAUUUGAUCAACCCUAACACAAAAUAUUUGUUCCUUGUUUAAUUUUGUUACUUAUCAAUAGAUAGUGCUAAUUUGAUAAGUAAUAAACCUUUAUAAAUUGAAUUUAAAAAAUCAAUUGAGCUUAAACUUUAUAAUUGUGUACAUUAAAUUCAAAUUUAAUUUUAAUUUAAUUUUCAGAAUGAAAAAAUUUAUGUUUAAAUGAAUAGUAUAUUUCAAUUCAAAUUGUUAAUUUGAUAUAAAAUGACACGAAAUUUCAAAUAUAUUAACUUAUUUUAAAUUGUAAAUUAUACUGUAUUUAUAAACAUAACUUUUAUUUUUAUUUAAAUUAAAGGCUUCUAUUUUAAAAUUAAAUUCAAAUUGUUCAUUCAAUAGUAAAAACAACAUUAAAGUUCAAAAAUAUUGAUCAAAAUUAAAUUUUAAAUUUAGAUUUAGUUUAUAUAUAGUUAAAAAAUAAUUUGUUAACUAUUUAAACUAUAAAUGAUUCUAUGUUUGAAAAUUAACUUUAAAUUAUAAAUCUAAUUUACAAAGAUGACAUGUUAUAGGAUGGCAUAUUCUAAAUUUACAAAGAUGGCAUGUUAUGAGAUGAAAAUUUACCAAAAUGCCCUCAUUGCAAACUCCAUGUAAUGAAAAUAUUUUUUGCCCUCGUUAAAGAGGUGACUGGUACCGAUGGCACAAGUGCCAGUCACCGUCUUUUAAAUAGAUGCAUCAUUACGUCAUUUAAAAAAUUUAAUGGUUAAGAUUUGUUUGGUGAAUGGGAGCAUUGCUCUUAAAUUUAUAAUUACACAAAAGUUUUUCCUUCAUAUAAUUGAGAUAGAUUUGAUAAUAGCUAUUGUAUAGAUGCACACCUGUUGUAGCAUUCUUUGGUCCAUAGCCAUUCCCGGCAAACAGAAAUUUAUGUGAACAUUGUCAUCAAAGCUAUAUGACAACAUGAAGCCGCCUAAAAAGUAAUGUUAGAAAGUAGUGCGUGAUAAUAAAGCAUCAGAAAUAAUGGGCAUUGCUAUGGAGGUCGAAGUAGAAAUUGUAAUGCAUUCAGUGGAUGAAGUCUCAAAAGUCAGUAUAGAAAAAUUCUACAAAGAGGGAGGAGUUAAAAUGACCUACUACAAUUUUUAUAGAAAAGCCGACUGGCUCACUGAUCAGGAUGUUCAAUUAAUAAGCAGUGGGAGUCGGUCGGUUGACUGAGCAGGUCCAUCAGUUGCCUAAACAAGUUGACUGAGUGACAAAUCUAGUGAUUUUAGCCGCCAUGACCUGGUCUAGACUUAACUAGAGUUUGAGCCAAUUUAUUUUACAUGCGCGCUUGAACUCAUUGGACUUAACCGCAACUUUUUGUUUUAGUUUCUUUAGUAAUGUUUAAUUGUUUAUUCAUCAUUAUCUAUGUAUCAGGCAUGGACAAAAAUGAAUUCAAAUUGAAUUCAAACUUCAAAACAAUUUUUUUCUAAUUCUUUAUCGAAUAAGCUUCGAAUGCCAAGUUUUCUCCAUGGUUCAAAUCCAAAUUUCAGGGAGUUAUACCCAUUUUUGUAAUGACAACUAAUUUCUAGAAAUGCCCUAUUUACUAAACUAGCCCUCUUUGCUACCUCACAUACUAAUAGUUUUAUUUAGCUUUAAUCCAAGCAGCCAUAAGUAAUCAAGCACUCACAUGAAAUGCAUUGAAAUUUCCACUUAUGAGUGAUCGCAAGGUUUAAAGCAAACCAUGCACUAGAAAGUGGAAGCACUAACCCCUUCUGCUUCCAACACACCAACUCUCCCCCGACCUUGUAUCUAUGAAUAGAGGGAUAAUAGGGUUCAUCAAGCUGAGUGAGCACAAAACAGACCAAAUACGAGAUAUUCGUGCACAAAACGGACCAAAUAGACAACCCGAAUAUAACUGAUCGGUUUUUUUUUUUUACAAUCUGAAUAGUUAUCAUCCACUCAUUGGCUUGUAAAUUUCAACCUAAAAUAUGGGCCUGUGGGUGCAAUUAUUGUGUGAUUAAAUUCUUUAGUUACUUUGUCCUAUUAAUUUGAGGUCAUGGAUGACUUAUCAAACCACAUUACUCAAUCAUGUCUAAUCCAAUUGACAACCAAUAUUCUGCUAACUUAUGAGAAACCCUUUCCAUAAAAGCACAUUGCGUUAGCUAAGGACUUUUUGAGUCUGGUCACACCGAUAAUAUAAGAGGGUAAUAUAUUCCAUCUUGGUAUACACCAACCUACAUGUAUUACUCAUUACAACCAAUAUGUGCUAAUUUAAACCCAUGAUUAAGGUCCAAAGUAUUUAUACAAUCAAACUACAAUAAAUCACACGCAAAAUAACAGUGAUGCCUCAGACCUAAGGAUCAAUUACACAACUACAGUAUCAAACAAGUCAUUGAUAAGAGAGUAGCUAUCCAUGUGACUCUUCAUAACCAGUCAUAUUCAGUGAAUUUAUUCUCUAACAACCAUCUAUAUGCUUGCCAUAGUGUCACCACAUUAAUGAUUUGAGAUUUGUCACCCAAAAACACAGCAUCCACCAGUCUAACUGGAUUUAUCACUGUCCUCAUGAUAAUCCUACAACUAGGAGCAUUUAGAAAUUACUUGCUGAAGAACACAUCUAAAAUUCCUAAUACUUUUAGAAAUAUGUUUUUUCUACCCUUAACAAAUUGCACUAACGCAUUUGCAUUAGUAUUAAAGAUUUCUGGAAUCAUUAAACUCCCAUCUGAUCACCAUAAAAAUAGAGGCUUGCUAUUAUGGGCCUACAUGCUUGGCCAAUUAUUUGGAUUGGUCAUUGCAAAUGUGGGAAUUGGGUGGUGUUGCCUUCACCGGUAACUCCAUGCGUAACAACUAACAACAUGUGUAACAUCCCCGACAACUUCCCCACAAAUAAUGUUUUAUCCUCCAUUAUGCCCAACUGACUAAGCCCAUUAUUUAGAAAGGUCGGUCCGUCACUAAGGUCAGUAAUAUCUUGGCUUACAUUGUGCAUUAGAGAGCACCUGCAUUGUGCCACACUCUUUUAGAGUACAUGUUAUCUGGCAUCACCCAAAAGCCGUUUCGGUGUAAAAAGGUAAUAAGUUAAGGUUGAGAUUAGGAGAAAGGCGAGGAUUUGACGGGAGAAAAGCAAGGUUGAAAAGAAGAUAAAAUGGGACAUGGACAGCAACCAAAGUUGUUGCCAUGCUUCUGUCAACUCCAUUAGAUAUAAUUUCUCAGUAAGAACACUGCAAUACUGUCUAAGCUGCUGAGCGUGACAACUGAAAGUGUAGGACCAGAGUGCAAUCCGACCAAUA